AAAUUUUAACUUUAGUUACUUAACCUAGAUAAAAUUAUCGUACCAAAUUCUUGUGUAAGUUUUUGCAGGGGUGAUUUCCCUGGUGUCUGUUUAAAAUCAGUGUCUUAUUUUACUGAUGCAUAAGUCCUAGUGUGUCAGACUAGGCAUGUGCGUUCAGAUAAAUAAGAGAUUUCUCCAGUCUGUUUUCUCCAAUCAAAGAAGCCAUGCCAUUUUACUUUGAGAAGCAUCUGAGUGGGCCCGUUACGGGAAAUUUCAUAAUAGCUCAUGCAUUUGUCAGCCGACAUUCAAAAGUAACCAACUCCUCAGGUAUUUGUAGUUUACCCUAAUGCUUCUAUAGAAGGAAGUAGGAACAAUAGAGAGAAAGGGGUAGAUAAUCUUUAUUAUGCAAAGUUUUUUCUUGUAUUUUGUCUCUUUCCUCUUCACUUUUUUUUUUUUCUUUUUUUUUAGUAGCAUCCACCACACAUUCGUGUGCCUGAUCUGAAAGGAAGCUGGGGCACCCAGCAAGUUUAGCCUUUCUGGGUAUUGAUUUCCAGCUUAGGUAAUUCUAGAAAGAAUUAAAGAGAGAGAAACAAGAAGCAUGAAGCUGAGAGUUUCAGCGCUCUGCUUCUGUUUCCAAGGCAAGUCGGGAGCUUAGGGUUAAACGACCAUCUAUUCAAAUGCUUGCUAUAAAUCUGAACACACGGGCAGGUGCCCCACUCCUUGGUAUUCGUUGUAUCCGGAGUUCUACAAUGUGUAACUGAAGAAUCAGUUGGUGUUAACCCUCGAGUGUGAGUGUGCUUUAUGUUUGGGGGUACGUUUGGGAUUUCUUGUUUUGCUGGGUUGUUGGCUUUUUUUUUUUAUUCCUAAAGCUUACCAGAUAUGAAUGGCUAAUAUUCCAUUGUUCUGCUUAUUGUAAUGGUGAAUGCUUUAAGAAAAAAAAAGUGUAAUUUGCUAAGAAUAAUUCAUGAUCUGUUUAUGCGAUAACUCCUUUUUGUUACAAUUUUUUUAAAAAAAGCUAUUUUUGUUAAUGUAAAGUAAAUAUUUCAGAGCAAAUUUUUUAAACUUAUUGCACUAAAUACAGGCUCUGUAAAAUAAUAAUAAUAAUAAUGAAAAAGCCUCAGCAUUUAUCAUUCCAUAGAAGGAAAAUCUUUUGAAAGAAAGCAUUGCCUAUCAGAAGUAGAUCGUGAAUUAGACUGGUGUUAUGGGAUUGCAUACAAUGUUCUGAGGGCUCAACGAGCAGCUAUUUGCUAAUGUGCUUCCUUUCAAAGGGUUGGACCUUUAAAUUGCUGCAAAAGGUAAAUUGUAUUUUCUUUUUUAAGUACUGGUGUUCUUUAAUCUAGCUAGGCUAAAUUUUGCUAAAUGCCUUGGUUUCUUUUCAAAGCUCAUGAAUAUUUCUGAGCCUUCAGAGUUUUUGCAAUAAGAGUCUGGAUUAAAAACAACAGCAAACCACACACACAAACACACACACACACACAAGAGUGCAUGUGUAAGCAGGAUCUGGGAAGCCAGCAUUGAGAGAGUAUAGCUAUUGUGAAAUAAUGAUUCACCAGAAAUUAACAUCUAACAUCUAGUGUUGCCAAAUAGUGUCACUGUACUUCUCUAUCAUUUGAAAUGGAAUUUAAUUAUGUAACUAACAACUGUCCUACUAGGUGAGAGAGGAAGAUUAUGUGAGAAAGUCAGUAUACCAUGUAACUUGUAGCCACACAGAUUUUCGACAUUGAGAAACAUUGGGAACUAAAUUGAGAAUGGGCCAGAGCCUGGAAGAUGGGUCUCACACCAGAAGACAUUCCAGGAGCUAGCCAUUUAGGAGAUGUCCCUUCAAAGUGACGUGAUGAUGGACUUGCACUUGGGAAUCAGGUUCUGCUCACUUGGACAUCCCUGCAUCAUGGACUCUUGCUGCCCCUGUUCCAUGUGCUCGCAAUUCCAGCUACUGGAAGCCACCAGGAAUGCUUUCUAAUUAUCAUUUGCAACUAGAACUGUAAUCAGAAAGAAAAUUUGUAUUUUUGUAUAACUUGAUUGUGUGCCAUUUUAUAUAACAGGUCCUGUUUUACAAAUAAAUUUUGUUUUACUAACUUUGUGUUU
rnacentral:lncRNA from 1 species